GUGUUGGGAUACUGCCAGGGAGAUAAAGUCCAUCAUGGCCCCAAGCCGUCUGCCGGACGAUCCAUCGACCUCCCGUAGGCACGCAGUAUCAUCAAUUAGCGACAUGAGUUUCUAGAAGAUUUCUUGCCACAUUCCAGAGCUCAUGCACACUCUAUCAGCAGAUAAUGCACAGCCAAAAGUUGCAAUCAGGAGAGCAUUAUUUACAAGUUUAUUCAGCGUUGAUCAGAACACAGAAAAACGUGACUGCCUGCUUUAGUGUCUGCGACACAAGAGAGAAAACGAAAGCAACAGAAAACAUAAACAUCCUGUGAACAGGAAAUACGCAGACUCUGACUCACAAAGCCUGCUCCCUUUUAAGGUGGAACGGAAAUAUCCUAACAUCCUCCCCCUUUCCGUGUAACCUGUAGUACCUGUGGUUCAACCCAAUUGCAACCUUUGUACAUAAACCUUAAGUUGUUCUCUGUUAACAACCUUAGACAACAGAUCAGCAGGAAUUUCAUUUCCUGGCAUGUAGGACACCUGAAUGAGUCCUUUCUGAAUACACUCUCUUGCACGAUGUAGCUUAAUCUGCAAGUACUUGGUCCUUUGCUUGCAACUCUCUGAGUUCAGCAAAGCCAAACACGAUCUAUUGUCUUGAUACACUUGUACAGGACAUUUCACAGAAACUCUGAUGUCCUUAAACAGUUGCAUCAACCAUUCACAAUCCAUGAGUGAAAAUGACAGAGCAUUGAGUUCUGCUUCACAGGAACUUAGGCUCACUGUCGUCUGCUUUUUGCACAACCAGUCAAACAGGCAGUGGUUGUACAUGUAGCAUACUCCAGAAGUGCUUGUACCAUCCGUGGUGUCACUUCCAAAACUUGCAUCUGCAAAGAUUUCAAGACCUCCAGUCUUCUGACUGGUGAACCUCAGCCUGUAGUGCAAAGUCCCUUUCAAAUAGCGGGCUAUGCGCUUCAGAGCUUUCCAAUCCUGAACAGUAGGAUUGUUAGCAUGUCUGCUAAGCAGGUUAGUGCUUACAGCUAUGUCAGGUCUUGAGCAUCUAGCAAUGAAAUUCAACUUGCCUAGAAUGCAUCUGUACAGCGUUGUGUCAGAAAACGCUUCAGCAGUACUGUCUACCUGGUAACCUGUCACCAUCGGUGUGUCUGCUGGGUUUGCAUCAACCAAAUUCAACCUGGUUAAUACAUCAGCAAUUUUCUGUGUUUGGUGUACCAGAAAAUUACCUGCUUGGUCCCUCUCCACCUGCAGAGAAAGAUAGUUGGAUACCUCACCAAGAUCCUUCAUGUCAAAGUGCUCCUUCAGCUGAGCUAGGGUGCUUUGGUAGAAAGCCUGAUUCUUCCAAAACAUCAGAAGAUCAUCAACAAAACAUAAACAAUACAGUUUGUUUUGCCCCUCCUCCUUGACAAACACACAUGGAUCAGCUUUGCCCUGGUGAAAACCUAGAGAAAGCAACGUCUCAGUGAGUUUCGUGUUCCAACACCUGGCACUCUGCUUGAGACCAUAUAAGGAUUUCCGCAGUUUACAGACCAUUCCCUUCUGUAUCUGCAUCCCGUCAGGUGGAAGCAUAAACAGCUCCUCGUCCAAAAUCCCGUACAAAAAGCUGUAUUAAUGUCAUGAUGGGAAACAUGCAGUUUCUCCUCUGCAGCUAUCUUGAGCAUCAGCCGAAUGCUCUCAUAUUUGACGGUGGGUGAGUAGGUCUCGUGGUAAUCCUGUCCUGGUACCUGUGAAAAACCUCUGGCAACCAAUCUGGCUUUGUGUCUGACAACCUUGCCAUUCUGGUCUGUCUUGGCCUUGAAGACCCAUUUGCUGCCAACCAGUCUCAUUCCUGGGACUACCGGUACCAGUUCCCAAGUUUGGUUCCUAUUCAAGGAAUCAACUUCAGCCUUCAUGGCAUUAAGCCAAGGCUCAGCAUCUUUAGAGG